CGAACGUGGAUACCCCAAGAGGUCACUCUCCGCGGGCUCUGUCCAGGUGGUGUAGGGGAGCAUAGGACUCUGCCCUGUGAUGUACAGUCCCUUUCCACAACGUUGGAGAUGGAGCUGGGCCUUGAGUCUGCACCUGCAUUAUUCCUACAGCUUCUCAGAGUCCUGUGGUCAAUGACUGGGGAGAAAAACCACGCAGGAAACAGUU